rnacentral:rRNA from 1 species
GGGUUGUGAGGUUAAGCGAAUAAGCGUACACGGUGGAUGCCCUGGCAGUCAGAGGCGAUGAAGGACGUGCUAAUCUGCGAUAAGCGUCGGUAAGGUGAUAUGAACCGUUAUAACCGGCGAUUUCCGAAUGGGGAAACCCAGUGUGAUUCGUCACACUAUCAUUAACUGAAUCCAUAGGUUAAUGAGGCGAACCGGGGGAACUGAAACAUCUAAGUACCCCGAGGAAAAGAAAUCAACCGAGAUUCCCCCAGUAGCGGCGAGCGAACGGGGAGGAGCCCAGAGCCUGAAUCAGUGUGUGUGUUAGUGGAAGCGUCUGGAAAGGCGCGCGAUACAGGGUGACAGCCCCGUACACAAAAAUGCACAUGCUGUGAGCUCGAUGAGUAGGGCGGGACACGUGGUAUCCUGUCUGAAUAUGGGGGGACCAUCCUCCAAGGCUAAAUACUCCUGACUGACCGAUAGUGAACCAGUACCGUGAGGGAAAGGCGAAAAGAACCCCGGCGAGGGGAGUGAAAAAGAACCUGAAACCGUGUACGUACAAGCAGUGGGAGCACAGAGCAAUCUGUGUGACUGCGUACCUUUUGUAUAAUGGGUCAGCGACUUAUAUUCUGUAGCAAGGUUAACCGAAUAGGGGAGCCGAAGGGAAACCGAGUCUUAACUGGGCGUUAAGUUGCAGGGUAUAGACCCGAAACCCGGUGAUCUAGCCAUGGGCAGGUUGAAGGUUGGGUAACACUAACUGGAGGACCGAACCGACUAAUGUUGAAAAAUUAGCGGAUGACUUGUGGCUGGGGGUGAAAGGCCAAUCAAACCGGGAGAUAGCUGGUUCUCCCCGAAAGCUAUUUAGGUAGCGCCUCGUGAAUUCAUCUCCGGGGGUAGAGCACUGUUUCGGCAAGGGGGUCAUCCCGACUUACCAACCCGAUGCAAACUGCGAAUACCGGAGAAUGUUAUCACGGGAGACACACGGCGGGUGCUAACGUCCGUCGUGAAGAGGGAAACAACCCAGACCGCCAGCUAAGGUCCCAAAGUCAUGGUUAAGUGGGAAACGAUGUGGGAAGGCCCAGACAGCCAGGAUGUUGGCUUAGAAGCAGCCAUCAUUUAAAGAAAGCGUAAUAGCUCACUGGUCGAGUCGGCCUGCGCGGAAGAUGUAACGGGGCUAAACCAUGCACCGAAGCUGCGGCAGCGACGCUGAUGCGUUGUUGGGUAGGGGAGCGUUCUGUAAGCCUGUGAAGGUGUGCUGUGAGGCAUGCUGGAGGUAUCAGAAGUGCGAAUGCUGACAUAAGUAACGAUAAAGCGGGUGAAAAGCCCGCUCGCCGGAAGACCAAGGGUUCCUGUCCAACGUUAAUCGGGGCAGGGUGAGUCGACCCCUAAGGCGAGGCCGAAAGGCGUAGUCGAUGGGAAACAGGUUAAUAUUCCUGUACUUGGUGUUACUGCGAAGGGGGGACGGAGAAGGCUAUGUUGGCCGGGCGACGGUUGUCCCGGUUUAAGCGUGUAGGCUGGUUUUCCAGGCAAAUCCGGAAAACUAAGGCUGAGGCGUGAUGACGAGGCACUACGGUGCUGAAGCAACAAAUGCCCUGCUUCCAGGAAAAGCCUCUAAGCAUCAGGUAACAUCAAAUCGUACCCCAAACCGACACAGGUGGUCAGGUAGAGAAUACCAAGGCGCUUGAGAGAACUCGGGUGAAGGAACUAGGCAAAAUGGUGCCGUAACUUCGGGAGAAGGCACGCUGAUAUGUAGGUGAAGUCCCUCGCGGAUGGAGCUGAAAUCAGUCGAAGAUACCAGCUGGCUGCAACUGUUUAUUAAAAACACAGCACUGUGCAAACACGAAAGUGGACGUAUACGGUGUGACGCCUGCCCGGUGCCGGAAGGUUAAUUGAUGGGGUCAGCGCAAGCGAAGCUCUUGAUCGAAGCCCCGGUAAACGGCGGCCGUAACUAUAACGGUCCUAAGGUAGCGAAAUUCCUUGUCGGGUAAGUUCCGACCUGCACGAAUGGCGUAAUGAUGGCCAGGCUGUCUCCACCCGAGACUCAGUGAAAUUGAACUCGCUGUGAAGAUGCAGUGUACCCGCGGCAAGACGGAAAGACCCCGUGAACCUUUACUAUAGCUUGACACUGAACAUUGAGCCUUGAUGUGUAGGAUAGGUGGGAGGCUUUGAAGUGUGGACGCCAGUCUGCAUGGAGCCGACCUUGAAAUACCACCCUUUAAUGUUUGAUGUUCUAACGUUGACCCGUAAUCCGGGUUGCGGACAGUGUCUGGUGGGUAGUUUGACUGGGGCGGUCUCCUCCUAAAGAGUAACGGAGGAGCACGAAGGUUGGCUAAUCCUGGUCGGACAUCAGGAGGUUAGUGCAAUGGCAUAAGCCAGCUUGACUGCGAGCGUGACGGCGCGAGCAGGUGCGAAAGCAGGUCAUAGUGAUCCGGUGGUUCUGAAUGGAAGGGCCAUCGCUCAACGGAUAAAAGGUACUCCGGGGAUAACAGGCUGAUACCGCCCAAGAGUUCAUAUCGACGGCGGUGUUUGGCACCUCGAUGUCGGCUCAUCACAUCCUGGGGCUGAAGUAGGUCCCAAGGGUAUGGCUGUUCGCCAUUUAAAGUGGUACGCGAGCUGGGUUUAGAACGUCGUGAGACAGUUCGGUCCCUAUCUGCCGUGGGCGCUGGAGAACUGAGGGGGCUGCUCCUAGUACGAGAGGACCGGAGUGGACGCAUCACUGGUGUUCGGGUUGUCAUGCCAAUGGCACUGCCCGGUAGCUAAAUGCGGAAGAGAUAAGUGCUGAAAGCAUCUAAGCACGAAACUUGCCCCGAGAUGAGUUCUCCCUGACUCCUUGAGAGUCCUGAAGGAACGUUGAAGACGACGACGUUGAUAGGCCGGGUGUGUAAGCGCAGCGAUGCGUUGAGCUAACCGGUACUAAUGAACCGUGAGGCUUAACCUUACAACGCCGAAGCUGUU